CCCCAUCCUCGAAGCCCCACCUCCAGCUCGCCCCGCCCCCAGCAGCUGGGGAUUCCUGCCAAGCUCGGGCGGGGGGCGGGCCCCAGAGCCCGCCAGGCAUCUUGGGAACGCAGAGAUGAGGGUCCCCGUGGCUUGAUGGAGGCAGAGGGUCCCCGUGGCUUGAUGGAGGCAGAGAUGGGGGUCCCCGGGGCUCUAUGGAUGGCAGUAGGUGCCCACUAAUGGUGACAAUCCGGACGUCCGCACGCGUCCUGUCCACCGGGGGACUGAAUCACCCCUCACUGAGUGCCCCGGCUGGACAGGGCUGGAGAGAAACCAACAGAUCUGACUGACGGAUGGAUGGAUACAUACGUAGAUAAUGAGAGAUGACAGAUUAAGUAGGUAAGAGUCAUGUCUGGUCAGGGUCUCUGCCCUACCGCCGUCUAGGGCUGGACGAGUCUCUAUGGGGGGCGUCCUGGGCACUGUGGGGUGUGGAACAGCUCUGGUCUCCCCCCACCACAUGCCAGGGGCAGCCCCUGCCCCCAGUGCUAAGAAGCAAAAUGACCCCUGACUAAUUCAUACCACGUAUAUUUAAACUAAUACAUAUCUUUGUGUUCAUGUGACUGUAUAUAAGAACCCGGGUCUCUUGCCUUGCAGGCAGAUUCUUUACCACUGCACCCCCAGGGAAGCCCCUAUAUAUAUAUAUAUAUAUAUG